GACGGAGGAUGCAAGUGUUAUCCGGAAUCACUGGGCGUAAAGCGUCUGUAGGUGGUUUAAUAAGUCAACUGUUAAAUCUUGAGGCUCAACCUCAAAAUCGCAGUCGAAACUAUUAGGCUAGAGUAUAGUAGGGGUAAAGGGAAUUUCCAGUGGAGCGGUGAAAUGCGUAGAGAUUGGAAAGAACACCGAUGGCGAAAGCAGCUCUCUGGGACGGUACUGACGCUGAGACGCGAAAGCGUGGGGAGCGAACAGG
rnacentral:rRNA from 1 species